AAUAUUGCACAAUGGAGGGAACUCUGAUGCAGCAACGCCGCGUGAGCGAAGAAGGCCUUCGGGUCGUAAAGCUCUGUCAUCGGGGAAGAAAAAAAUGACGGUACCCGAUGAGGAAGCCCCGGCUAACUACGUGCCAGCAGCCGCGGUAAUACGUAGGGGGCAAGCGUUGUCCGGAAUUACUGGGCGUAAAGGGUACGCAGGCGGCCUGAUAAGUCAGCUGUGAAAUACCACGGCUUAACCGUGGGGGUGCAGUUGAAACUGUUGGGCUUGAGUGCAGGAGAGGAAAGCGGAAUUCCUAGUGUAGCGGUGAAAUGCGUAGAGAUUAGGAGGAACACCAGUGGCGAAGGCGGCUUUCUGGACUGUAACUGACGCUGAGGUACGAAAGCGUGGGUAGCGAACA
rnacentral:rRNA from 1 species